CCAUUGGUGGACAUGCCACCGACUGGGUGGUGCUCACAAUACCUGGCUAUCAGCGACCAGAGCAUGAUCCAAAAAUGAUCAUAUUGCUGUUGCUCAACACUGGUGGGCAGGUGAGGGCUUAUUUCUUGAGGCAGCUCUCAUUCAUGGCAUACAUGCAUACACAUAUCUAUCAAGAUGUAUGCCGGGAGCCAAAAAUGAAUUAGAAAACACAUCAUAGAUUGUUGAGCAGUGUAUGCACUCCUUUAUUCAGGAAAAUGUUUUUGAACAUGAGCAUGAGAUCAAAGAUCUGACCACUGCAUAGAUAGGCCAUUAGAAUCAAGCUGUCAACGUUUUUAGCAGUGUUUUUCUAUGAAAUAUGUGUUUCAAUAACAUAUCUUUGAAGGUUUUUACCUAGUGCAGAUACUGGGGUCAACAGUCAAGGGAAUUUGUAGUCCAGAUCAGAAAGCAGCAGUCGUAG
rnacentral:lncRNA from 1 species